rnacentral:misc_RNA from 1 species
AAGUCGUAACAAGGUCUCCGUUGGUGAACCAGCGGAGGGAUCAUUACAGAGUUAUCUAACUCCCAAACCCAUGUGAACUUACCUUUGUUGCCUCGGCAGUAGUUGCUGGGCGAGCCUACCCGGGAACGAGCUACCCUGUAGCGAGUUACCCUGGAACGUCUUACCCUGUAACGCCUGCCGGUGGACUACUAAACUCUUGUUAUUUUUAAGUAAUCUGAGCGUCUUAUUUUAAUAAGUCAAAACUUUCAACAACGGAUCUCUUGGUUCUG